rnacentral:rRNA from 1 species
CCUACGGGAGGCAGCAGUAGGGAAUAUUGCUCAAUGGGGGAAACCCUGAAGCAGCAACGCCGCGUGGAGGAUGAAGGUUUUCGGAUUGUAAACUCCUUUUGGUAGAGAAGAGAAUGACGGUAGCUAACGAAUAAGCACCGGCUAACUCCGUGCCAGCAGCAGCGGUAAUACGGAGGGUGCAAGCGUUACUCGGAAGCACUGGGCGUACAGAGCGCGUAGGCGGGAUAGCAAGUCAGAUGUGAAAUCCUAGGGCUUACCCAUAGAACUGCAUUUGAAACUGUUAUUCUAGAGUAUGGGAGAGGUAGGUGGACUUCUUGGUGUAGUGGUCACAUCCGUCGAGAUCACGC